UACGGAGGGGGCUAGCGUUGUUCGGAAUUACUGGGCGUAAAGCGCACGUAGGCGGCUUUGCAAGUCAGAGGUGAAAGCCCGGGGCUCAACCCCGGAAUUGCCUUUGAGACUGCAUCGCUAGAAUUGUGGAGAGGUAAGUGGAAUUCCGAGUGUAGAGGUGAAAUUCGUAGAUAUUGGGAAGAACACCGGUGGCGAAGGCGGCUCACUGGCUCAUUUCUGACGCUCAGGCGCGACAGCGUGGGGAUCAAACAGG
rnacentral:rRNA from 1 species